ACGUAGGUGACGAGCGUUGUCCGGAGUUACUGGGCGUAAAGGGCGCGCAGGCGGCCUCCCGCGUGAGUGGUGAAAGCUCCCGGCUUAACUGGGAGAGGUCCAUUCAGACGGGGAGGCUUGAGCGUCGGAGAGGGGCAUGGAAUUCCGGGUGGAGCGGUGAAAUGCGUAGAGAUCCGGAGGAACACCAAUGGCGAAGGCAGUGCCCUGGCCGACGGCUGACGCUCAGGCGCGAAAGCGUGGGGAGCAAACAGGA
rnacentral:rRNA from 1 species